rnacentral:misc_RNA from 1 species
AAAACUGUGUCUCAAUGCAUUCAGGUUUCAUAUAAUAUUUUUGUGAUUACUCCUCUGCAAUGCACAUCCCGCUUCUAUUGCUUGUGUUUUAUGCAUGAGUUUAACCAUAUGUCCUCACCAAUGAAUGAAUGGAGCAGAGAGAUGUUCCAAACUACUCUUUUCGUGAGGAAAAUUGUUUUCAAGAGUCAAUAUUGUUCUAAAACUAAUAUUCUGUAUGUAUGAAGAGUCCUCAUGGAUGAGUGAAUGGGACAGACAGACACUAUUUAAACUGUUCUUUAAUUUCUCGUAGCCAAUUGAGGCACCAAGAGAAACUAUCAUUCUAUUUCAUUUUCCCCUUUCAUUUAAAGUAUUUGCCAAUACAAGGAGAAGAAUUUUUAUUUCCCUUUUAGCACUCUGAGUGAGGUUCCCAUCUCUGUUGGUAGAUCAUGCCAAAUUGUUAAUUCUUGAGAAGAUGCUGAUUUCUUGAUGAUUUUCUAAUACUGCUUUAUUUGGUUGUAUUGAAGGAAUUCUUUGGAAGCCCUUUCACAAUUUUUUUUUCUUUAUUG